CUCCUCAAAGGGCUGUGAUACGCUGCCAAUAUGACAUAUCACAGCUAGCUUUGAUGAGCU
rnacentral:pre_miRNA from 1 species